rnacentral:rRNA from 1 species
CUGCCCAGUGACAACUGUUUAACGGCCGCGGUAUCCUAACCGUGCAAAGGUAGCAUAAUCACUUGCCUAUUAAUUGUAGGCUAGAAUGAACGGAUAAACGAAAUAAAGACUGUCUCAAUCAGCAAUCUAAAAAUUAACAUCUGCAUGAAGAGAUACAGAUAAAAUCGAAGGACAAGAAGACCCUAUAGAGCUUCAUUCUAAACACAGGUAAUUACUGUAUAAAAAUUCGGUUGGGGCGACCAAGGACACUAAAAAACACCCUAUAAAUAAAAGAUUUAUUAAUCAAAUAACUGACCCUUACUAAGAUCAAAAAAUCAAGCUACCUUAGGGAUAACAGGCUAAUCCUAUUUAAGAGUUCAUAUCUACAAUAGGGCUUGGCACCUCGAUGUUGGCUUAGGGUAUCAAUAUAGCGCAAAAGCUAUAUAAAGAUGGUUUGUUCAACCAGUAAUCCCCU